AUCUCAAGUGGUAAAAGUGGAAUACACGGAGUGUGCAGACAGAGCGAACAGUAUUUGGUAGGGUUCAGGAAGCACUCUGUUAAGUCGUCAAAUCGAUGAACAGCCUGAUAAUAACGGACCUUGACGCUAACUAUCGCUGUUCGUUCAACAUAGCUCAGGGUGUCCGGAAGUGUUGACUAUGCAAUUGAUGUUGGCGCUACAUUGAGUUUACCGUCAUAAUGCAACGAAGAAAGACGGAUCUAAAAUGUAACCAUAAAUAACCAUGCGAUUGAAAAUGCCGCCCUACUGUGGAUGCCCCCUUGGUUGGUAUGAGUCACGGGAACAAAUGACCUACUUGAAUAAAUGAG